rnacentral:lncRNA from 1 species
GAUAACAUGCCUCUCUUUGAGUUUAUUACCCAAUAACCAGUAAUAUCUCGUUGUUUCUUCCUCAGCUGAGUCCUUUGUGGACAUCCCCGUCUGAGUCCAGAUUUUUUAUCCGAUGUAUUCUUUGUGGAUAGUUUUGCUGUAUUGGCAUAUUCCCUAAUACAUGCAUCUUUGCGUCAGCUUGAGUCUUUCCAUCGAUUUAUUUUC